rnacentral:lncRNA from 1 species
GACUUUCUCGGGGUCAAAAAUUACGUCAAACAACGCUGAAAUUAUAAUCCACACCCCGAUUCAAACUUUUAGCUUUAAACAACGCAAAUCUCGUACCAAAACAUAUUAAAUGAAUUCAGAAUGACAUCAAAUUUGGCACACAAGUCAUAAAUGACAUAACGGAGCUGUUCAAAUUUUCAGAAUCGGAUUCUGGCUCCUAUAUCAAAAAGUCAACCCCGUGGUCAAACUUGAAAAUCUUUAGCUUUUAAAUUACUAGUUUCCGUUAAAUGGUCAUAACUUGAGCUAGAGACCUCCAAAAUAAAAUCUGGGCAUACGCCCAAAUCACGAUACGGAGCUUCCGAAACUGUCAAAACACUGAUAUGGGUCCAUUUGCUAAAAAUAUUGACCAAAGUCAACUCAUUUGAGUUUUAAAGCUCUAUUUCACAUUUUAAUUCAUUUAGCACAUGAAAACUUUCUGAAAAAUUUUACGAAUUGCGCACGCAAGUCGAGGGAUGAUAAAUAGUUUUUUUUAGAGGUCUUAGAACAUGUAAUUACUUAUUAAAUUUAAAGAUUGAUCCUUUCUUCGUUUUCUUUUCACGCAUAAUCCUUUCUUCAUUUUUUUUAAUUCUCUUCGAUUUACGAUUUAUAUCUUUAAUACAAAAUUACCCUUAAGUUGAAACUUUGUUUAGGGUCAGGGAAAAUAUAAGAUUUUUCUUAAACGUGCGGAAUUAUUAGAUCAAAACUUUAACAGAAGACAAAAUUGCUUAAUUUUGAAAUCUCAGUGAGCGCAGGUACCUAGUGAGUGCGAGUGCCGAGUGCCAAUUGCUGAGUGACUGGGAGGCAUGAGUGAUUCUGAGGUAUGCCCGAGUGGCAAGAGUGAUUGUGAGGUAUGCCCGAGUGACAAGAGUGAUUGUGAGGUAUGCCCGAGUAGUACGAGUGAUUUUGAGGUUUGCCCGAGGCGUUGUACAUGAGUGAUGUUUUGCCCGAGGGGCUGUUUAUGAUUUCAUCAUUUUUGCUCACCUUUGCAUUUAGUCUCUGUUUGAAAAUUGUUGAAAAAAGAAUAUCUUAAAUGAUUUUACUGGAACUGUGUUUAAACGAGAUAUUUUGAUUCAAAUCCUGAUUUUAAAAGUAUGUGGUAUUUUACUGAGAUUUUUUGAUGUGAACGUUAUAUGUUUUAUUGCUCGUCACUACUGCUCAGUCUUUAUUUAUUAUUAUUACUUACUGAGUUGGCGUACUCACGUUACUCCCUGCAUCUUGUGUGCAGAUCCAGGUGUAGCUGGACACGGUAGCGGUUGUUGAUUAUUCUGGUUACAAAUUUUUAUGGGGAUAGCAAGGUAGCUGCUUGGCGAUCGCAGCUCAUGUUCUUCUCCCUCUUUUUUUUUUAUUUGCACCGGGUGUCCAAGUCUCUUUAAGCCCCGACUAAUCCCGGGGGUGCACAGGCCCUCGGCAAGGAGUUUUUCGCAAGUGCACCACGGUUAAUUCAAGUUUUACCCAGUCCGAUAGCCCUUAAAAAUUGUUUGCACCCAGUGGAUUUCGAACUUGAGACCUUGAAAAGGAGCAAACCCCAAGGCUCAAGUCAAUUGCCACCAGGCCAACCCCUGAGGGUUUCAUGUUCUUCUCCCUCUUAUCUUCCUUUUGUUGUAUUUAGCUAUUUUCCAGGCUGAGUUAGCCUUGAUAUUGCUAGGCAGAUUGUGUUAUAUGCUCAUGACUAGUGACACCCCGAUGUCGGACUUUUUUUUUCCGUACUUUUGUUUUGGUUUGAACUCUGUUACGGAGGUUUUUAUGCUAAAUAGCCUUGAGUUUAUCUUUAAAAUGAAAAUAUCGAUUUGUUUUGGGAUGAGUCGGCUUGCGUAGUUCCAUGAUAGGCACCAUCACGACAGAUUAGGAAUUUAGGUCGUGACAGAAAUCAAUAAUGCCAUAGGAAGUGAUUUUAUUCUAUAAAGUUUCGAUCUUUGAAGAAAUCCCCAAAAGCCAACUCGGGUCUACGUACCCGAAAUCCGAAACCAAUACAAAAAUUCGAUGACCCCUGACCUGUCUAGUCCAAAAAUAUGAUUCAUUUAACCGUAUCCAAAUAAGUACUCAAAUCCCCAAAAUACACUUUCUUAAAGUGCAAGCAAAAAUCCCAAUUUUGUUUUUUAAAUUCCAUGUUUUAGGAGUAGAAAUCCUUAGGUAAUCAAGAUAUAAAGCCAAAUUCAAGUGACAACUGUUUACCUCCAUUGUAGUAGUUAAAUUGCUCUUCAAAAUCUUCUCUACUCGAAGUCUAAGGCUCAAAUUAUGGAAUAAUAGGCAAAGUCCCGAAAUUGGAAACUUAAGUACUUUUCCUAGGAGAACUCAUUGUCACACCUCCUUUUUCCGAGGAAUAGGAAAUUUUUCCGAUUAAAGUGACAUUAUUCGAAAUGAGAUUGUUUAUUUAAUUAGAGUCGCCGCUUGAAAUAAUUAUGAUGGUGUCCCAAGUCACCGGUUUGUGUUAAAAUCUCAAAUCGAGGAAAUUGACUCUGUUUAAAGUCCGCGAAUACAGAAGACCGGGUAAAGAAUUUCGUUAACCCGGGAUAAGAUGUGAGGCACUCCCGGAUUCCGUGGUUUUAGCACGAUCGCUUUAACCAUACCUGACUUAAUUGUUUAAUUACUUAUUUUAGAACCUAUGUGUAUUUUACCUUUUACCGCUUUUAAUUAUGGCGUUACGGAUUUAUCGUUGAAACGGAAUACGUGUGUGUAGAUCUGUUUUGUUUAGUGUGCUAAAAAAUUAUGUCAUGCGUACGUGUACACAAUUAAUAACACUUAUUAUUUUAAGAGAUUGUUUGGCCAAAAGUUUGCCGAACGCAUACUUUGGUUUUAAUUUUGGAAAUCGUAAUCAUGAUACGCGGACGUAUACAUAAUUACGGUAAUUUGAUUAAUUCAGAGUGCACCUAAAGCAUACUAUCGUUAUUCAUAAAUUGAUUAUUGUUCUAUGAUUUUAGAUGGAAAGUACAAGAAUUAUGGAAUUAUUGAUGGGAAAAUGUAAGAUUUAACUAUUUUGGAAUUAUUUAUAAUGAAACAAUCUUUGUUAGUUAAGAAGAUGGACUAAGUAGAAUUUUAUUGAUGCUGGGCCAUUAGAAUUAAAUUUGUUAGCCCAAAUGCUUCUCAAUUCUUAAAUGAGAAAAUAUCAUUUAUAUCCCCUCAAAAUAUUAAUAGCCCAUAUUUUUUCCCAUUGACAUGAAAUGUCCCUCCGGCCCAAACAUAUUACAUCUAAUAGCCCGAAAUCAUGUCUAUUUUGUAUAUGUUUUGUAUAGUGACUGUCUAUUUUGUAUAUUUUUUGUAUAGUGACAGUCUAUUUUGUAUAGUGAUAGUCUAUUUUGUAUAUAUUUUGUAUAGUGACAGUCUAUUUAGUAUAAUGUUUGUAUAGUGAUAGUCUAUUUUGUAUAGUAAUAGUCUAUUGUAUAUAAAUUGUAUAGUCACAACCUAUUUAGUAUAUAUUUUAUAUAGUGAUAGUCUAUUUUGUAUAUAUUUUGUAUAGUGACAGUCUAUUUAGUAUAUUUUUUAUAUAAUGACAGUCUAUUUUGUAUAUUGACAGUCUAUUGUAUUUAAAUUAUAUAGUGACAGUCUAUUUUGUAUCAUUUUUGUAUAGUGACAGUCUAUUGUAUAUAUUUUGUAUAGCGACAGUCUAUUUUGUAUAAUUAUAUGUAUAAAUAAAAAUUCAAGAGUUCAGAUCGUUAUGUUCCAUAAAUUUAUGGUUUUGUUUGUGGGGUUUUGUUUUCUCCUCUUUUCUUGGUGGCAGGGUGGUCGUAGGUGGGUGGCAGAUAUUGAGUAUUGAAUGUUUUACAAAUACCCAGGCGGCAAAAAAUAAUUACCCGCCCCUACCCACAAAUGUUUUUAAUACCCAUAAAGCCAAGACAAGUCAAGUUAAGCUAAGCAAAGUCAAGCCAAAUUAAAUCAAGUUAAGCUAAGCCAAGCGGGGCAGGUAGGUCAGGUAAUUAGUUUGAAUUAGGUAGGUAUAUAUUGUAACUAGUCUUUAAAGGGGUAGAAAGGGAUAAUUAUUUUAAACUCAAUGGGUAUUUUGCAUAAUUUUCUCUUGAUUGGACCGUUACUGUGAUUGUUAUCCUUACAGAAUUUGUUAAAUACGUUAGUUUGAUAGAAUUUAUCAAUUGCAAGAGUUUUAAUAUAGAAAAUGGCACAUUUAUCUUAUACUCAUAUUUAUCUACAUUACUAAAAAAUAAGUUAAAAGAAUUAUUACACAAAAAAUUAAAAUAAAUAAAGUAAACUUAAUAUUAAAAACUAGUAUAAGGGAUGUCAAUCUCUGAAAGCAUCAGUAAAUUGUAGAGCUGAGGUUCGAGACAACACAAUGGUUAAUAUAAUUUAUUUAUUUUUGACUACAAGUUGUAAUGUGCAAUUGUGAGCUAGGUGGAUGUUUAUAAUUUUUGACCGGCGGCUAACUUUGUCAAAAGCUCUUCCUAAAUCUAUACUACGUACCAAACAAUGAAGCAAGACUAAAAGCAAUGAAAAUUAUCUUGAAACCCAAAUUCCUUCACCAUUUUAAAUCAAAGCGCAGAUGCUAUAUUUCAAACCACCCAACGGCCCAAUUCUAAACUCAUUCCAUGUGGCCCGUUUUAUUAUCAUCAACUUAACUUAUGACAAUCCAAAACCCAAAUUGAAACUAAAACUAAAUCACCAAAAAGAAACAAGAUGGUGUUCACAAAUUAUCCAAGAAAAUAGAGGCUAAUGUUAAAAUCUAUUUAUCACAAACACCAAUUGAAACUUAGGUCAAAAGUAAGAACAUACCUCAAAAUUUAAUUCUUGCGGGCCUUAAAGAACGAAACCAGAAGGACCACGACACAAGACCUCAACGGCGACCUCGGACUCAACGAUGACCUCUGCUAGGAUAUGUAGAAAAAGGCUAUUUUGAGGUGUUUUCAAAUGUAGUUGGAGAGCGUUUUUUGGGUGAUCGUUGGCUGAUUUUCUGGGCGGUUGUUUUUCUGGUGUUUUGGGGAGUUCAGGGCUGCGUUUUCAUGCUAAAUCGAAGCUGCUUUAAUGGCUGUUUUUCAGCUUAGUUUUCACUGUGUUUUUGGUCAGAUUUUGGACUAUUUUUGAGCGGUUUCGGCAGCGGUUUUAAGCUGAUUUUUGCUGGCUUUUGGGAGCUAUUUUUGGGACUGUUUUGCGGCGAUUUUAACAGAGGAGAGGGGCUGGAUUUGAGCUCGUUUGUUUAGGUAAAACAGUGAUUCUUCGGGACUGUAUUCAGCUGAGUUUUAAUAGAGAAAAGAGGCUGGUUUCAUGAGUGUCUUGGAGCUGAGUUUCAUGGGUGCUUUGGGGCGGUUUUGGGUGGUGUUUUGGGGGUUAAAAGGAGCUAGAUUUUGGAGUUCUUACAAGGCUAAAACUAUGGAGGAAAAAUGGUGAUUGAGGAUGAGGAAGAAGAGAAGAAGAAAGAGAUGUAGUUGCCUCCCUUUUUUUUCAAUUUGUCUCUUCCCC